AUCCUGUACAAAGAAGCUUCAGUAGCUCCUCAUCACACUUUGAGACUUAAAGCUCCAACAUGAUCUUGCUCCUCUUCUUGUUCGGUCUGGCUCUGGGUGCUCCUUCUGAGUCUCCUUCUGAUGGCAGUGACGUGAAGCUACAGCUUGGAAUGGAGUCCGCUGUGCAGGUCACCAAAUACUACUGACACAAGUACCUGAACUUUGCUGUACUGUAAUUUAUGUAUCAUAAAAGUCGUUCUUGGCAAAAUGAAACAUUUAGUUUAGAUGUUAAAACGUGAGCUCUCCACUCCCUUUUUUCAUAACAGGAAACCUGCAUAAAAAUGGAUCAAUUAUGGAAGGCCUACUUACAGUAACUAAAUAACUCUCUAUGCAAUAGUUUCUAUAUACAAACCACUUGAAGGCUAUAAAAAGAUAGAGGUUCACUUCCAAAUGUCAGUUUCCACUGUUAGAAAUGUUACCAGGAAACUUCAGUAAAGGGAUAUGGUGGAAGCUCAGAUGAACAAAGCUUUAAGACCGUCACACAAACCUCUCACAUGAGUGCCAAAUAUCUGCAGGACAGUGUAGCUGACACAGCAGUGGUAAUGAUCUGCUUUUAGAUUAGUCUGGUUACUGCAGGGGUUUUAUUUUGGAUGCUUUACAAUUGUAAUAGACACAAGUGUGCUUAGAGAUUUGUGUACACUGUAAAUAUCUCAAAGUAAAAAAAAAAAAUAGAUACAUACACAUUUUUUUUUUAAUUGACUCUAAACAGGCCAGCCACGAACGCUUGUGCACAGGGUUUGUUUUGUAUUUUUGUAUUUUUUUUACUGGAAAGGAUCAUAAACUUCUGUUUCCUCUUCCUGGUACAGUCAUUUAUUCUGUUUUCUUUUUGCUGAUAAUGUGAUUUUAUAAUAUAAUAAAACCAUAAUUAUUCAGACAAACAAACAGUGAAGUAAACCUAAUAAACCAAAGGUGUUAAUAGUUUAUUUAUUUUGUCAUUUACUCCAAUCAGGCCUGCCACAGCAGUCACAUGUCUCUGGGUCCAGUACUAAGUGAGGAUCCUCUUGAUUGUGUGGAGUUCAUUCUGUCUUUGUUUAAUGGAGCAACUCAGGAGUUUUCACCUGUUAGAGCUCUGACCUGUCCUGUUUGAUUAGUCAUUGUGCUGAUAAAGCCUUUAUGGUACAAUAAAUAUAAAUUAUACAUCAAA
ensembl:lncRNA